GGGGGGGGGGGUGAAUUGGGUUUUAAAAUAAUUUGAAUAAUUAAAACGAUGUGGUUGACUAAUUAAAAACUAUUGCAAGUUAUUUAAUUAAUGCUAAGUGCUGUGAGUGAUGUGAGGGGAAGAAGAAGAGAGACAAUCCAACACAAACUCAAGGUUUUAUAGUGGUUCGGAGCUAACCCUUGCUCCUACGUCCACUCCCCAAGUCUCACUUGGGAAUUCACUAUAACCCCCUUGGAUUACAGCCGGUUGUUUUCCAAGCUCACAACCAAACUUGUUGUUUUACGAGCUCGCAACGAACUCGGUCGGUUUUCCCAGGCUCACCGACUAGAACCGCCCCG
rnacentral:lncRNA from 1 species